rnacentral:rRNA from 1 species
AGAGCGAACGCUGGCGGCAUGCUUAACACAUGCAAGUCGCACGGGCAGGGGUAACUCUGUCAGUGGCGGACGGGUGAGUAACGCGUAGGUAUCUAUCUCUGGGUGGGGGACAACUGUGGGAAACUACAGCUAAUACCGCAUGACACCUGAGGGUCAAAGGCGCAAGUCGCCUGGAGAGGAGCCUGCGUACGAUUAGCUAGUUGGUGGGGUAAAGGCCUACCAAGGCGACGAUCGUUAGCUGGUCUGAGAGGAUGAUCAGCCACAUUGGGACUGAGACACGGCCCAAACUCCUACGGGAGGCAGCAGUGGGGAAUAUUGGACAAUGGGCGAAAGCCUGAUCCAGCAAUGCCGCGUGUGUGAAGAAGGUCUUCGGAUUGUAAAGCACUUUCGACGGGGACGAUGAUGACGGUACCCGUAGAAGAAGCCCCGGCUAACUUCGUGCCAGCAGCCGC